UCCUUUUUCCUUUUCCUCACCAUCAGUUAUGGAUGGAAAAAGAUGACCAAGAGAUUGCCCCACUGUCGGACAAAUGGCAGGAUGGGAUCACUCUUUGGACUACCCACCGGCAAAAUGCUGCCACUGGAGAAACAGACGUGAACAAAUCUGCGCCCGCUGCUCCAAUUUACUGAGCUUGCUCAUCUCAUAGAGACUGUAGUCAUCUCAGAGGGAGGGGGACAGAGUAUCACUUGCUGUACGCGGCUACAUGACCAUGGGUCAAGGCUCCACUUAUCCACCUUCCUCCCUUCCUUGACUCUUAUCAGUGACAGGCUGGAAACAGAAGCAAGAUAAGGAGAUGUCCCGGCCAAUACGAGGAUCGCUGGUUCGAACACCCGGGCAGAUUAAUCAUUGACAUGUCCAUCAGUUAACAAUGGCUAAUGUGCCACUCAAACUGGUAAAUGGGAAUGGAAACAACGGUGUAGAUUUCUUCUCAUAAAGCUUUACAGGUCCUGUAGCCUUAACAGCUAGAUGGCACAUAUUCUGCUUCAUACUGUUUGUCACUUGAAGUGUUGAAGGACAGAUUAAUGAAAUGCAGCUGCCACUCCAUACAACAGUAAUUUGCUGUCACUCAAGUCACUCAGACCGAUGCCUGGGCCACAUUUACAAACAUAGAUGAACGAUAAAUCUGGCCUGCUUAAUACCUCUUUAAAAUAGAUCCUUUAACAGCAAUAAAAACCAUCGCAGCACAACGUAUUAUGUUGCUUGAGGCUGUGUUUAUGCAUGGGAUAAUACAGUAUUUACACACAAACUGUUUCUCAAAAACAAGGUUGUAUUUUUCUUACUUUCAGUGACACCGAUUUGUGUUUGGGUAUAAUGUAGCCAGCAGUUUAAAGUUCUGUAAAUUACUGUAAUGAUCUGUUAAGACAUUAAGAUUAGAUCAUUCUGCACAGUUAUGAUUAGGAUCAGAAUAUGGGUAAAUCUAUGCAGUCUUGAUUGGGAAUCCAUGGAGUUGGAAUGACAAUGAUAAACUUCAUGCUCCAAAAACGGCUUCUUCUUUGCCACCCGUAACAAAUACUUUCCCACUUUUUUGUGGGACUGAUAUCUUCUGUGAGCUGAAGUUGCAGCAUUUUGUGUUCUUAAAGUCGGGCAUUUUUUUUCUACACAUUUCCAGAUCUAAUGCUAUAACUUGUUGCUCAGUACUAUAAUUCUUAAUUUACAAUUAAUAACAAUAUUUUUUUUUUUUUUUUGAUAUCAACUUGAUUACAACUUGAACUUUUUCAAGGAUGGACUGGUUAUGCAAUAUAAAUGAAACUGUAAAUAAAACCUUUAAUAAUUUA